rnacentral:rRNA from 1 species
GACGAACGCUGGCGGCGUGCCUAAUACAUGCAAGUUGAGCGCUGAAGGUUGGUACUUGUACCAACUGGAUGAGCAGCGAACGGGUGAGUAACGCGUGGGGAAUCUGCCUUUGAGCGGGGGACAACAUUUGGAAACGAAUGCUAAUACCGCAUAAAAACUUUAAACACAAGUUUUAAGUUUGAAAGAUGCAAUUGCAUCACUCAAAGAUGAUCCCGCGUUGUAUUAGCUAGUUGGUGAGGUAAAGGCUCACCAAGGCGAUGAUACAUAGCCGACCUGAGAGGGUGAGCGGCCACAUUGGGACUGAGACACGGCCCAAACUCCUACAGGAGGCAGCAGUAGGGAAUCUUCGGCAAUGGGCGAAAGUCUGACCGAGCAACGCCGCGUGAGUGAAGAAGGUGUUCGGAUCGUAAAACUCUGUUGGUAGAGAAGAACGUUGGUGAGAGUGGAAAGCUCAUCAAGUGACGGUAACUACCCAGAAAGGGACGGCUAACUACGUG